CCAAAAUAAAAAAUCCAGAGAAAUACCUGGAAAAUCCAGAGAAUAUAUAUUUUGAGAGUGAACUAAAGAAUAGACCAUAUGAGCUGUUGAUUGAUGCAAAAGUGGUGAAAACCUAUGUUGCACCGGGACGGAUACGGGGACAGAAGCGGGGACGGAAAACGGCAAAAUUUAAAAAUUAUGGAUACGGGGACGGCAUAUAUAUACUAGUCAAAAAUAUAAAAUAUUUAUAAAAUAACAAAAUUAUAUAGUGAAUCUAACAUAAUUAUAUAUAAUUUACUAUAAUAUGUCUAUUUUGCCAACUAAAAAUAAAUAAAAGACUAUAUAAAAUAAGCUUUAGUUUAUUUCUAAGGAGAAAGAGGGCAAGGCGUUGAUGGCCACGAGGCUUCCAAGCCAAAGCUUGUUCCUUCGGCUCCUGCUAUAAGUGUUUUGGCUCAAGUUUAUUUUACUUCAAUCAAGCAGCAUAACAGUGACAGUUAAAACACAAUUACACAAGCAUUAGGUCCCGUGAAAACUAGACCUAUUCAACAACAAAGUUCUCUAACCAUCCCCAAGCCGUACCAGUGAUGUCCCCGUGAAGAAUCCGUCCCCGAAACGUUUCUGGUACCGGUACGGCACCUAAACAGACGUCCCCGUGCUUCAUAGGUGAAAACCCAUUGCUUAAAGUUUAAGGAAUGCAUUCACUACAUUGACAGUGUUGGAAAAGUACAAUCAGAGACGAUGAAAACAAAAGAUCGUGUUUGUAUCCGAUAUUGGAACCGCAUAUGCGACAGGAACAAACUGAAGAAAGAAGACCGUGUUUUAUGUGAACUCUUGCGUGAGGGCGAUACGGUUUAUGCAAUCAACGUCCAUGUAGUCCGUGCUAAAGAUUUGUAGAUGAUAUCAUUCAAGCUUGUGGUUGUAUAACUAUACUAAAAUUAAAGAUAAACAAAAGAGUUCUUUCCCCCUUACGCGUUGCUAAUGGAUAUAUUGUAGGAGAACUUUUGAGUGUUAAUUCACUACUCUCUCCGUUUUAUAUUCAGUGUCGUUGUAGAGAAAUUUUUUCGUUACAAAAUAAGUGUCAUUUUCCAUUUUCAAUACAAAAUUUAUUAAUUUUAUACAGUAAUUUAUUUUCUAUUAGUUAAAAUAUGGUUAGGUAUAUAGGUAAUUGUGUUUUUAUAUAUGAAAUACACAAAAUUAAUUGUUUCCUUAAUCUGUGUGUACAAAGUCAAAAUAACACUUAAUAUGAAACAGAGGGAGUAAAACUAUUUAUUGGAAAUUGAAGAAGGGACUAAACGACACAUCUCAUAUUUGUUUCUGACUAAAAUCAUAGCCUGUAGAUUGUAAAAUCUUAUUCAUUAGAGACUUUGGAAGAAAAGG